ensembl:lncRNA
UUUAUAUCAAAGAGUCAUCUUAGUGUCCUGUCACACUUAAUGAAUAGCAUGAAAUUUAUCUCUUAUACCUUCAUCUCCCCUACAGAGAGAAAGUCUUCAGGUCAAGAAUGUUGAGAAUCUGGAACACAGCUCAAUGCCUGGUGCAUGAUGCCCAGGGUCAGAUCCAGAAAGGUUACCCCUGCUGUGUUACCGUGGGUAGAGCCGGCAGAAUACUAAGAGGACCCUCAAGAUUUCCUAACAGUAGGUAUGUGUGGAAAAGAUAGAUAGGUUCCUUUGUUUUUCAUAGAUUCCCACUGACUGAACAUCUGUGAGAGGAAUGGAAGGGAUUUACUUUGAGAGCCUAUCUGUAUCAGUAGGAAAUCAAAUGUAAACUUUUGAACAGUUUCCGUGAAGGUGAAGGCCGACAGCAAGUCUGUCGCUUCAUUCUGCUUUCUAGCCACUGUUUCCCUCAUGGCUUGAUGUCAGGCAGAGCUUGCUCUACUGUUGCAUCCUUUGUGAUGAUACCAGCCACCUGAAGCUAGUUAGCCAGAGGGCACAGGUCCUGGCAGGGUCACAUGGCCUGUGCCCUGGGGUUGUAUGCCUUGGUACAGAGUGUGACCUCUCCUUUGACAUUUUAGUCCCUCGUCUGCAUCAGUUCAUCUUGGGGGAAAUAGUCCUACAAUUGAUAUAUGAUGAGUGAUUAAGCACAGAGUUUGAUUACUCAGAUUCUUUUUUAUAAUGAAAAAUGUGCAUUAUUAGUAUUAAGAUUUCUUAUGCCCUCCCUUGUAGAUUUCUUCCCAAUAUCAAGGUAACAGGCACAUGAGUAGUAAUUUAAAGUUGUUCAUAAAAACCAAAAGGACUUGAAAAGUUUUACAAGAAAUACCACAUACUCUACAAAAGACCAGAUUUCUUUACUUGAGCACAUUCCUAUUGAGCUGUCAUUAUGUGUCACACCCAACGUGAUAUACCUACCUUCAACGUCCUAGCCUAAUCAGAGGGAUCCUUUACAAUAGUUGAUAUGUAAUGUUAGAUAAUGCUGUGGGAAGAUGUUCUAGAUCAGGUGUGCCUGAGCUGAGUUUGGAAAAAUGAGCAGGAUCCAAUUUGGUAAAAGAGAAGAGAAGGGCUAGGGCAGGUAGUGAAGAAAGAGGGAGUAGCUUCUCCAGGGAACUGCAAAUUGUCCAGGAGGGCAGAAGAUAGAGUGCAAAGAGGGGAAUGAGAAGAUGAGGUUGAGGGGAUAAGUUGUGCAGGGUGGAGAAUAGUUUAUAAAGCAUCUGGGAGUUAGCC